CUGAAAGUUCUAGAAAGCAUUGGAACAGUGGCUUCAGAUUCCAUGGUGAUGGGCUCUUAUGAGGACUAGCUACGUGGUGUCUAUGGGUGAGAUGGACAGACACAUGGACCUGUGUGCUGAUACCUGCCCUCUGAAGCCAGAGGCUUCCGCUCACAGCUCCAUAUUGGAACUUGAUGGAGUCCCCGAAGGAAGGAAGAACCAGUAGCCCUCUCAGAUUCACUCAGCACCGGAGGAAUGGGAACCAGGGGAUGAUGGCUCAGAAAGGUUCCAAGAAGCCCAGGGCAGAGUCAUGUCUCCAGUCUUCUAGACUCCUGCCUCUGCCAUGUCCUCCUCAGUGUCCAAUGUCCUAUUUCUGACCACUGCUGACUCCAGGACUGAUGGAAGCACUGUGAUGGCCACCUCCCAUCACUCUGUCAUUCUUGAGGUUUCACUCCAGAGACACAAAACAAGAGGGCAGAGUGAACAUCCUUUAGAGUUAGCGUUUCCCAGGCUGGACCAGUGUGGUGGUGCUCUGGCUGAAUCGGAUGAUGCUAGGGUUCCAGGUGAAGAUGAAAGGCCAGAUGACAGAGAGCAUGGAACAGCCAUUAAAAUGGGUCAGAAAGAGCUUGGGCUUUGAUGAAGAUGUGGAAUAUGAGGUAAGAGACAUCAUGAAGACAAAGGAAGGUUCCCUUACAUGAUCUGAAGUUUAAGACACAUCGCAGCUCACCCAUUUACAGCCUUCACAGCUUCUAUUAGGGAAAUUUCAUGCAAAAGGUAUUCCAGAAAUGGCGGACAAAUGAGACAAUGGCUUGGCAAGAAUUUAAGGCACAAAAAAUGUGUAUUUCACACAGUCCAAUAAAAUGGAUUGAACAUUGCUUUAGUCACGGCAGUGGUAUUUUUAAGUGUGUAGACAAGAUCAGCUUCCCCAUGCCCUCCUUCUCAUUCUUAAAUAAGCAGAUGGUUUUUCUCAUGGUGAUUUAAGAAUAAAUGAAUCUUUCAGGUUACAAAGAAAAAGUUCAAGUUGAAUGGAAUCCCCAAACAAUUCUACUAAACUUUACUUUCAAAGUGUGUGUUAUGGAUUCCCUCUUUAUUCAUCAGCAAGGUAAAGCUUAUUGGCUUUUAGAUUUACUUCAAUUCAUUUGAAAACACUGUAUCAACUUCCCCCAUUUAAAGCUUUGGGUACAGAGCACAUUGGUGUUAUUAAAAUGUGACUCAAAGGUUUCUAACUCUUUGCUAAUAACUGAGUCAGGUGGCUGCACUUUUGGUAAUCAGAUUCUUAGUAAUCAGAUUGUCGUAGCUGAGUUUAAAAGGCCCACUUCCUUAGAUGAGAGGUUUUGUCUCAGUCCAUUUUCGUUUCUUCUCGGACUGUGGCCUCUUAGUGUUUGCAUCAGUUCAGAGGUGGUUGGGGAUUGAGCUCAGUGAGGAGAACAUGUACCUAGCAUGUGCAAGGCUCUAGUUUCAAUUCCAAGCACAUGCAAAACAAGUCCCAUGAUGGUAAUAGACACUUGUAGGAGUCCCUAUAAUGGCACAUCUUGACCUUCAUGAGUGCAGGGAAGUGAGCACCUUUUGAAUCAUCUCCAUACCUGUGCUUAUGUAGUACCAUCAUCUUAGUUUUAAUGUCUUCCUCCUCACUAACUAGAACUGUCAUGACAUUAGAGACUAUAGCAAAUCUCUUUUGGCAUCUUAUAAUAGUGGUUUAAUAAAUGCUGACCAGUUUUAUGCACUGUAACUGGCUGAUGGUUCAGCAGAAUGAUCAUGUGGGCAUCCUGGACUUCAUCCUGAACUGGAGCAACCCAUGGUGAUAAUAGUGCUCUUUCAAAAUGCUUAGCAACUUCCUAGAAAGCUUUAACAUUCAGGUCUAUUUCCUUCCAGCAUUGUGUCUUUUAAAUGGGGAAUGUGGUGGUACCUAAGGAGCAUUUUGUAAUGCUGGUAAGGUUGCUAGUUUUUCUACCCAGAGAUGAAGAAUGCCAAGAAUUAACAUCUAAAGCCGUCGACAUUGAUUCAGGCCUAUGCCGGCCCAACACCAUCAUCACCGGCAAGAAGGACAUGGACAUAGGUGAAUGGGAGGACAAAGUCACCUCAAGACAUAAUCUCUUCACCCCACUUUUUAUUUUAAAUCAGAAACAUGAAUCUGGAGAGUUUGAGGGAAAAUACUUCAGAAGACACAGAAGGGAUACAGAAGAAGGUAGGCGAGGAUUGGCGUGAAGGGGUUCCUUGUCAAUCAGGAUUCAAAAGACAAUUGAGUCUUUAUACUUCAUUGUUAAUCAAAUAUUCAGCCAAAUGAUUUCAAUUGAAUGGUGAGCUAUUAAGACUGGUCAGUUGAUGUGGUCAGUAGACACUGCCACACAGAUGCAGGUGACACCACCAGCUCCAAUGGAUUACUAUCUCAAUACUUCAUUUAAAGCACACUUGCCUUAGUUCCAUUUUAACUCCUCUAUUUUUAGCAUUUGAAAAAUAAAUUUUAUUAUGUGAUCUAUUUGAACCAAA